GAUGAAGAACACAGCGAAAUGCGAUACGUAAUGUGAAUUGCAGAAUUCAGUGAAUCAUCGAGUCUUUGAACGCACAUUGCGCCCCCUGGUAUUCCGGGGGGCAUGCCUGUCCGAGCGUCAUUGCUGCCCUCAAGCACGGCUUGUGUGUUGGGCCUCCGUCCUCCUCCCGGGGGACGGGCCCGAAAGGCAGCGGCGGCACCGCGUCCGGUCCUCGAGCGUAUGGGGCUUCGUCACCCGCUCUUGUAGGCCCGGCCGGCGCUUGCCGACACAUCAAUCUUUUUUCCAGGUUGACCUCGGAUCAGGUAGGGAUACCCGCUGAACUUAAGCAUAUCAAUAAGCGGAGGA
rnacentral:misc_RNA from 1 species